UUUCGACACACUAUCAUUAACUGAAUCCAUAGGUUAAUGAGGCGAACCGGGGGAACUGAAACAUCUAAGUACCCCGAGGAAAAGAAAUCAACCGAGAUUCCCCCAGUAGCGGCGAGCGAACGGGGAGGAGCCCAGAGCCUGAAUCAGUGUGUGUGUUAGUGGAAGCGUCUGGAAAGGCGCGCGAUACAGGGUGACAGCCCCGUACACAAAAAUGCACAUGCUGUGAGCUCGAUGAGUAGGGCGGGACACGUGGUAUCCUGUCUGAAUAUGGGGGGACCAUCCUCCAAGGCUAAAUACUCCUGACUGACCGAUAGUGAACCAGUACCGUGAGGGAAAGGCGAAAAGAACCCCGGCGAGGGGAGUGAAAAAGAACCUGAAACCGUGUACGUACAAGCAGUGGGAGCACAGAGCAAUCUGUGUGACUGCGUACCUUUUGUAUAAUGGGUCAGCGACUUAUAUUCUGUAGCAAGGUUAACCGAAUAGGGGAGCCGAAGGGAAACCGAGUCUUAACUGGGCGUUAAGUUGCAGGGUAUAGACCCGAAACCCGGUGAUCUAGCCAUGGGCAGGUUGAAGGUUGGGUAACACUAACUGGAGGACCGAACCGACUAAUGUUGAAAAAUUAGCGGAUGACUUGUGGCU
rnacentral:rRNA from 1 species